GACGAACCACACAAACGUUAUUCGGAAUUACUGGGCGUAAAGUGUGCGCAGGCGGCAGAGCAAGUCGAGUGUGAAAGCCCCGGGCUUAACUUGGGAAUUGCGCUCGAAACUACUUUGCUGGAGUGUGGCAGAGGAAGGUGGAAUUCCACGUGUAGCGGUGAAAUGCGUAGAGAUGUGGAGGAACACCAAUGGCGAAGGCAGCCUUCUGGGCCAACACUGACGCUCAUGCACGAAAGCGUGGGGAGCAAACAGG
rnacentral:rRNA from 1 species